rnacentral:rRNA from 1 species
ACGGACUCUAUUGAACCUAGUGAUGUAUGAGUUAGUGGCGGACGGGUGAGUAACGCGUGGAGAACCUGCCGUAUACUGGGGGAUAACACUUAGAAAUAGGUGCUAAUACCGCAUAAGCGCACAGCUUCGCAUGAAGCAGUGUGAAAAACUCCGGUGGUAUACGAUGGAUCCGCGUCUGAUUAGCUUGUUGGCGGGGUAAAGGCCCACCAAGGCGACGAUCAGUAGCCGGCCUGAGAGGGUGAACGGCCACAUUGGGACUGAGACACGGCCCAAACUCCUACGGGAGGCAGCAGUGGGGAAUAUUGCACAAUGGGGGAAACCCUGAUGCAGCGACGCCGCGUGAGUGAAGAAGUAUUUCGGUACGUAAAGCUCUAUCAGCAGGGAAGAAAUAAAGUCCUUCGGACUUUGGACGGUACCUGACUAAGAAGCCCCGGCUAACUACGUGCCGGCAGCCGCGGUAAUACGUAGGGGGCAAGCGUUAUCCGGAUUUACUGGGUGUAAAGGGAGCGUAGACGGCAGCGCAAGUCUGGAGUGAAAUCCCAUGGCUUAACCAUGGAACUGCUUUGGAAACUGUGCAGCUAGAGUGCAGGAGAGGUAAGCGGAAUUCCUAGUGUAGCGGUGAAAUGCGUAGAUAUUAGGAGGAACACCAGUGGCGAAGGCGGCUUACUGGACUGUAACUGACGUUGAGGCUCGAAAGCGUGGGGAGCAAACAGGAUUAGAUACCCUGGUAGUCCACGCUGUAAA